UAUAACCGGACAAUAGCAUGGACAGUGAGUCUCGACAAUAGCUACCGUGCGGAUCGUAGUAUAGUCACUCGGGUGGAAUUAAUGCUGUAAUCCGAUAAGUGCAUGGAAACUUAUUACACUACUAGUGCCGACAAGUGAUCGCUUCGUAGUGCGAGAAGAGGGCUAUCUCAUCUAUGGUUGACCUAUUGAUCAGCCAAUAAAGCACGUGGGCAACGAAUCUCGACUCUACAAAGCACAAGCAAUUCUUAAGCCACCCAUCGGAAUCGGGGCGAGGCACAAUCAAACGGCGGAGGCAAUAGAUGCUAUAACCCCACAGAUUUCAGCAUGUUAUUGUAAACUACACCCUGAACCGAAGAUACGACUAUAAAUCACGUUAAAAGGCCCUACGAACCAGGUAAAAAAUGGUACAUUACAAGUUCGAUUACGUUAAUGCUGACAAGUCACUCUCGACAGCGAGGGCCUUUUAUUCGCACUCUGGAUCACGCAGACAAAUAUCGCUAUUGCAUGGUAUUGUGUUUGAUGGCUAUUGUAUGCGCAGUGACCAACAGCCAGCACAAAUCGGCGAGGGGAGGACAGGCAAAGGAAAGAUAUACGGACCCGUUGGCGCACACAAAGGAAUCCGUGUGAACGCGUGCUUGUCUCGAACCGAAGUGCAAUUGCGUUCGAUGCGGCACGCGCAGUACAACAUCACAUCAUUCCACGCAUUUUGUCGCGCGACGGACGAUGUAGCACCCUCGAAAACGUGCAACAUCGCAGAUGACGACUCGAGUAUUCAACUACCACGGAAGAUGCAUGCAGUAUCAUCAAUGAAAUGGGGCCCCCAACGAUGAAGACAGACAUUGUAUGAUAGGAUGAGAAGACAGGUACAAUAGACAUUAGAUAACACCAAA